rnacentral:rRNA from 1 species
UGUUUGACUUAGUGGCGGACGGGUGAGUAACGCGUGAGGAACCUGCCUCGCAGUGGGGAAUAACAGUUGGAAACGACUGCUAAUACCGCAUAAUGCACCGAGAUCGCAUGGUCUUGAUGCCAAAGAUUUAUCGCUGUGAGAUGGCCUCGCGUCUGAUUAGCUAGUUGGUGAGGUAACGGCCCACCAAGGCGACGAUCAGUAGCCGGACUGAGAGGUUGAUCGGCCACAUUGGGACUGAGACACGGCCCAGACUCC